rnacentral:rRNA from 1 species
AUGCAUAUUGAAGAGUUAUUAAAGUUAAAGGCUAUAAGAGAAAGCAGAAGCCCUCAUCGGUCUGCUGCAUUCAUAGUUAGAAAUCAUCCUGAAGAAGUUAGAGGUAAAUAUAGAAUGGUAAUUAAUUUUAAAAGGCUUAAUGAUAAUACAGUUGACGAUGCAUACAACAUACCUAAUAAGCAGAAAUGGAUUAACAGAAUACAAGGAAGUAAAUAUUUCUCUAAAUUCGACUUAAAGGCAGGAUUUUGGCAAGUAAAAAUGGUUGAAGAAUCUAUUCCCUGGACAACAUUUACUUGUCCACAAGGCCAUUAUGAAUGGCUAGUAAUGCCAUUAGGUCUAAAGAAUGCGCCUGCAUUAUUUCAAAGAAAAAUGCAAAAUAUAUUUAAUGAGAAUCAAGCAUUUAUAUUGGUAUACGUAGAUGAUUUGUUAGUAUUCUCAAAAUCAUACAAAGAGCAUAUAGCCCAUCUUGAAGUGUUCUUUAGAAAGGUAGAACAAAAUGGGCUCAUACUAUCUAAAAAGAAGAUGGAAAUCUGCAAAGAGAAAAUAAAUUUCCUUGAUCAUGAAAUAGGAGAAGAAAAGAUAUAUCUACAAGAUCAUAUUGAAAAGAAAAUAUUAGAGUUUCCUGAUAAUAUGAGUGAUAAAAAGGUUUUACAGCAAUUCUUAGGAAUUGUAAACUAUGCGCGAAACUAUAUAGAUAACUUAGCAAAGCUAGCAGGAUCUUUAUAUGCUAAAUUAAGAAAAAAUGGUCAAAGAUACUUCAAUUCUGAAGAUAUAAAAUUAGUAAAGGCCAUCAAAGAAAAAGUCAAGAAUUUAAAACCCCCUAGAAUUGCCUCUAGAAGACAAUUAUUUUAUAAUUGA